UACAGAGGUCCCAAGCGUUGUUCGGAUUCACUGGGCGUAAAGGGUGCGUAGGUGGUCGGGUAAGUCUGAUGUGAAAUCCCCCGGCUUAACCUGGGAACUGCGUCUGAUACUGGCAAGCUCGAGUGCGGGAGAGGGAUGUGGAAUUCCAGGUGUAGCGGUGAAAUGCGUAGAUAUCUGGAGGAACACCGGUGGCGAAGGCGGCAUCCUGGACCGACACUGACGCUGAGGCGCGAAAGCUAGGGGAGCGAACAGG
rnacentral:rRNA from 1 species